AACAAGAGCAUGUAAAGCACAUGGUGGUUUCUACCUUGGAUCCAUUGGAGGUCCUGCAGCCAUCUUGGCCAGUGACUGUAUUAAGAAAGUGGAGGUUCUGGAGUACCCUGAACUUGGAAUGGAAGCCAUCUGGAAGAUCGAAGUGGAAGACUUCCCAGCAUUCAUUGUAGUGGACGAUAAAGGAAAUGAUUUCUUCGACCAAUGGUCUUUGGAGUAGAUUGCAGUGGAGGAAAAGGGCAAAUAUAACUACAAAAGCAGGGAAAAUAAUAACUGGACACUGUUUAUCGGAUGAGAACUGGAUAUGAUUUUUGGGCUAAAAGACUGUAAUUCUAACAUUUAUUUGCUGAAUUGUUCUUUUGGUACAUUGCAAACACAAUUUAUUUAAAAGUGGGCGGGGGGGUAUUGCAACAUUAUAAUUUUCAUAAUACAAUUUCAAAAGAUCUGCUUUAAUGUGUUUGUUGCAGUUUUGUUGAUGUCAGGAUUUACAAAUAAUCAAAUGUUGCUGACAUGUUCAUAUACUGUAUGUGUCUUUUUGAACUAUGUUCAGUUAACUGAUUGCUUUCAAUCUUGUGUAUUCAUGGCUUUAUUGACAUACUCAGUACACUGUGUAGCAAAGAGAGCUUUCUUUGAGUGCAUCUUUCUACUUGUUGUUUAAAGAAAACUGUAUCCACGCUGUGUAAUAGCAACUGUCUGCCUAAUAUAAUGAAAACAUCAGUUAGGAAGAAGUAGAAAAGUAGUGAUAUCUAAUAUCAGAGUAAAUGGUACUAAGUGACUAUAAUCUAGGAUCCAUCUAGAAUCAAACAUGACUUUAUAUCAGCAAGAUGUUAUAUUUAUAACAAAAAU